rnacentral:rRNA from 1 species
AGUGAACGCUGGCGGUAGGCCUAACACAUGCAAGUCGAACGGCAGCACAGUAAGAGCUUGCUCUUACGGGUGGCGAGUGGCGGACGGGUGAGGAAUACAUCGGAAUCUACUUUUUCGUGGGGGAUAACGUAGGGAAACUUACGCUAAUACCGCAUACGACCUACGGGUGAAAGCAGGGGAUCUUCGGACCUUGCGCGAUUGAAUGAGCCGAUGUCGGAUUAGCUAGUUGGCGGGGUAAAGGCCCACCAAGGCGACGAUCCGUAGCUGGUCUGAGAGGAUGAUCGGCCACACUGGAACUGAGACACGGCCCAGACUCAUACGGGAGGCAGCAGUGGGGAAUAUUGGACAAUGGGCGCAAGCCUGAUCCAGCCAUACCGCGUGGGUGAAGAAGGCCUUCGGGUUGUAAAGCCCUUUUGUUGGGAAAGAAAAGCAGCAGGUUAAUACCCCGCUGUUCUGACGGUACCCAAAGAAUAAGCACCGGCGAACUUCGU